rnacentral:snRNA from 1 species
GGAUGUGAGGGUCAUCUGGCUGUGACAUCUGUCACUCCAUUGUUGGCCAGGACUGGUUCAACUGAUCUGGCCAACUAUACGGAUGUCUGCUUCCUCUCUCACUGCUCCAUGUAUGUAUAUGCUCCUAAGGCUCCAGUGCUGGCUCCCAGAGGAAGACCUUCCCCAGCAGAGGAGGGAAGAUCUUCAGUUAGGGUACAUGAGCAACUGCUCUUCUCCACAAGAACCUCUAAAGCACGUUCUGAAGAGAUCAGAAGUUUCAGGAUGAUUUUUUUACUAGUGUGUUUUUUGAGGCAGAUGGAGGCUAUCU